UAAGGGAUAUUGCGCAAUGGAGGAAACUCUGACGCAGCCAUGCCGCGUGAGUGAAGAAGGCCCUCGGGUUGUAAAACUCUUUCAGAUGUGAAGAUGAUGACGGUAACAUCAGAAGAAGCUCCGGCUAACUUCGUGCCAGCAGCCGCGGUAAUACGAAGGGGGCGAGCGUUGUUCGGAAUCACUGGGCUUAAAGCGUACGUAGGCGGAUUUGCAAGUCAGGAGUGAAAUCCCAGGGCUCAACCCUGGAACUGCUCUUGAAACUGCAAGUCUGGAAUCCGAUAGAGGUUAGGAGAAUUCCGAGUGUAGAGGUGAAAUUCGCAGAUAUUCGGAGGAAUACCAGUGGCGUAGGCGCCUAACUGGGUCGGUAUUGACGCUGAGGUACGAAAGCGUGGGGAGCAAACAGGAUUAGAUACCCCUGUAGUCC
rnacentral:rRNA from 1 species